rnacentral:rRNA from 1 species
GAUGAACGCUGGCGGCGUGCUUAACACAUGCAAGUCGAACGAGAAAUGGAGACGGAAACCUUCGGGCGGAAGGCUUCAUUUCGAGUGGCGGACGGGUUAGUAACGCGUGGGUAACCUGCCUCAUACAGGGGGAUAACAGUUGGAAACGACUGUUAAUACCGCAUAAGACCACAGCACCGCAUGGUGCGGGGGUAAAAACUCCGGUGGUAUGAGAUGGACCCGCGUUCGAUUAGCCAGUUGGCGGGGUAACGGCCCACCAACGCGACGAUCGAUAGCCGAUCUGAGAGGAUGACCGGCCACAUUGGGACUGAGACACGGCCCAAACUCCUACGGGAGGCAGCAGUGGGGAAUAUUGCACAAUGGGGGAAACCCUGAUGCAGCGACGCCGCGUGAGUGAAGAAGUACUUCGGUAUGUAAAGCUCUAUCAGCAGGGAAGAAAAUGACGGUACCUGAGUAAGAAGCCCCGGCUAACUACGUG